UGGGGAAUAUUGCACAAUGGGCGCAAGCCUGAUGCAGCCAUGCCGCGUGUAUGAAGAAGGCCUUCGGGUUGUAAAGUACUUUCAGCGGGGAGGAAGGCGAUAAGGUUAAUAACCUUGUCGAUUGACGUUACCCGCAGAAGAAGCACCGGCUAACUCCGUGCCAGCAGCCGCGGUAAUACGGAGGGUGCAAGCGUUAAUCGGAAUUACUGGGCGUAAAGCGCACGCAGGCGGUCUGUCAAGUCGGAUGUGAAAUCCCCGGGGUCAACCUGGGAACUGCAUUCGAAACUGGCAGGCUAGAGUCUUGUAGAGGGGGGUAGAAUUCCAGGUGUAGCGGUGAAAUGCGUAGAGAUCUGGAGGAAUACUGGUGGCGAAGGCGGCCCCCUGGACAAAGACUGACGCUCAGGUGCGAAAGCGUGGGGAGCAAACA
rnacentral:rRNA from 1 species